rnacentral:rRNA from 1 species
AUUGAACGCUGGCGGCAGGCCUAACACAUGCAAGUCGAACGAGUGGCGGACGGGUGAGUAAUGUCUGGGAAACUGCCUGAUGGAGGGGGAUAACUACUGGAAACGGUAGCUAAUACCGCAUACCAUCAGAUGUGCCCAGAUGGGAUUAGCUAGUUGGUGGGGUAAAGGCUCACCAAGGCGACGAUCACUAGCUGGUUUGAGAGGAUGACCAGCCACACUGGAACUGAGACACGGUCCAGAGUCCUACGGGAGGCAGCAGUGGGGAAUAUUGCACAAUGGGCGCAAGCCUGAUGCAGCCAUGCCGCUUGUAUGAAGAAGGCCUUCGGGUUGUAAAGUACUUUCAGCGGGGAGGCGUUACCCGCAGAAGAAGCACCGGCUAACUCCGUGCCAGCAGCCGCGGUAAUAC